rnacentral:rRNA from 1 species
UGCAAGUCGAACGGAAUUUACAUGAAGCCUGGCGAUUGUAAAUUUAGUGGCGGACGGGUGAGUAACGCGUGGGUAACCUGCCUUGUACUGGGGGACAACAGUUGGAAACGACUGCUAAUACCGCAUAAGCGCACAGCUUCGCAUGAAGCAGUGUGAAAAACUCCGGUGGUACAAGAUGGACCCGCGUCUGAUUAGCUGGUUGGUGAGGUAACGGCCCACCAAGGCGACGAUCAGUAGCCGGCCUGAGAGGGUGAACGGCCACAUUGGGACUGAGACACGGCCCAAACUCCUACGGGAGGCAGCAGUGGGGAAUAUUGCACAAUGGGGGAAACCCUGAUGCAGCAACGCCGCGUGAGUGAAGAAGUAUUUCGGUAUGUAAAGCUCUAUCAGCAGGAAAGAAAAUGACGGUACCUGACUAAGAAGCCCCGGCUAACUACGUGCCAGCAGCCGCGGUAAUACGUAGGGGGCAAGCGUUAUCCGGAUUUACUGGGUGUAAAGGGAGCGUAGACGGUUUUGCAAGUCUGAAGUGAAAGCCCGGGGCUUAACCCCGGGACUGCUUUGGAAACUGUAGGACUAGAGUGCAGGAGAGGUAAGUGGAAUUCCUAGUGUAGCGGUGAAAUGCGUAGAUAUUAGGAGGAACACCAGUGGCGAAGGCGGCUUACUGGACUGUAACUGACGUUGAGGCUCGAAAGCGUGGGGAGCAAACAGGAUUAGAUACCCUGGUAGCCCACGCCGUAAACGAUGAUUACUAGGUGUUGGUGGGUACGACCCAUCGGUGCCGCAGCAAACGCAAUAAGUAAUCCACCUGGGGAGUACGUU